rnacentral:rRNA from 1 species
UUGCCCUAGUAACGGCGAGUGAAGCGGCAACAGCUCAAAUUUGAAAUCUGGCUCUUUCAGAGUCCGAGUUGUAAUUUGCAGAGGGCGCUUUGGCUUUGGCAGCGGUCCAAGUUCCUUGGAACAGGACGUCACAGAGGGUGAGAAUCCCGUACGUGGUCGCUAGCUAUUGCCGUGUAAAGCCCCUUCGACGAGUCGAGUUGUUUGGGAAUGCAGCUCUAAAUGGGAGGUAAAUUUCUUCUAAAGCUAAAUAUUGGCCAGAGACCGAUAGCGCACAAGUAGAGUGAUCGAAAGAUGAAAAGCACUUUGGAAAGAGAGUCAAACAGCACGUGAAAUUGUUGAAAGGGAAGCGCUUGCAGCCAGACUUGCUUGCAGUUGCUCAUCCGGGCUUUUGCCCGGUGCACUCUUCUGUAGGCAGGCCAGCAUCAGUUUGGGCGGUGGGAUAAAGGUCUCUGUCACGUACCUCUCUUCGGGGAGGCCUUAUAGGGGAGACGACAUACCACCAGCCUAGACUGAGGUCCGCGCAUCUGCUAGGAUGCUGGCGUAAUGGCUGUAAGCGGCCCGUCUUGAAACACGGACCAAGGAGUCUAACAUCUAUGCGAGUGUUUGGGUGUCAAGCCCGAGCGCGUAAUGAAAGUGAACGGAGGUGGGAACCCGCAAGGGUGCACCAUCGACCGAUCCUGAAGUUUACGGAAGGAUUUGAGUAAGAGCAUGGCUGUUGGGACCCGAAAGAUGGUGAACUAUGCUUGAAUAGGGUGAAGCCAGAGGAAACUCUGGUGGAGGCUCGCAGCGGUUCUGACGUGCAAAUCGAUCGUCAAAUUUGGGCAUAGGGGCGAAAGACUAAUCGAACUAUCUAGUAGCUGGUUCCUGCCGAA